rnacentral:rRNA from 1 species
CCUACGGGGGGCAGCAGUGGGGAAUAUUGCACAAUGGGCGCAAGCCUGAUGCAGCCAUGCCGCGUGUGUGAAGAAGGCCUUCGGGUUGUAAAGCACUUUCAGCGGGGAGGAAGGCGUUAAGGUUAAUAACCUUGUCGAUUGACGUUACCAGCAGAAGAAGCACCGGCUAACUCCGUGCCAGCAGCCGCGGUAAUACGGAGGGUGCAAGCGUUAAUCGGAAUUACUGGGCGUAAAGCGCACGCAGGCGGUCUGUCAAGUCGGAUGUGAAAUCCCCGGGCUCAACCUGGGAACUGCAUUCGAAACUGGCAGGCUAGAGUCUUGUAGAGGGGGGUAGAAUUCCAGGUGUAGCGGUGAAAUGCGUAGAGAUCUGGAGGAAUACCGGUGGCGAGGGCGGCCCCCUGGACAAAGACUGACGCUCAGGUGCGAAAGCGUGGGGAGCAAACAGGAUUAGAUACCCGUGUAGUC